GAGUUUGAUCCUGGCUCAGGAUGAACGCUAGCGGCAGGCCUAAUACAUGCAAGUCGAGCGGUAACAUUGGUGCUUGCACAGAUGACGAGUGGCGCACGGGUGCGUAACGCGUAUGCAAUCUACCUUUUACUAGAGUAUAGCCCAGAGAAAUUUGGAUUAAUCCUCUAUAAUAUCUUUUAAUUUCAUGAUUUUAAGAUUAAAGUUUUAACGGUAAAAGAUGAGCAUGCGUCCUAUUAGUUUGUAGGUGAGGUAACGGCUCACCUAGACUACGAUAGGUAGGGGCCCUGAGAGGGGGAUCCCCCACACUGGUACUGAGACACGGACCAGACUCCUACGGGAGGCAGCAGUAAGGAAUAUUGGACAAUGGACGAAAGUCUGAUCCAGCCAUGCCGCGUGCAGGAUGAAAGCCCUACGGGUUGUAAACUGCUUUUAUACAGGAAGAAACACUCCGACGUGUCGGAGCUUGACGGUACUGUAAGAAUAAGGAUCGGCUAACUCCGUGCCAGCAGCCGCGGUAAUACGGAGGAUCCAAGCGUUAUCCGGAAUCAUUGGGUUUAAAGGGUCCGCAGGCUGUUUUUUAAGUCAGAGGUGAAAUCCUACAGCUCAACUGUAGAACUGCCUUUGAUACUGAAAAACUUGAGUUAUUGUGAAGUGGUUAGAAUGUGUGGUGUAGCGGUGAAAUGCAUAGAUAUCACACAGAAUACCGAUUGCGAAGGCAGAUCACUAACAAUAUACUGACGCUCAUGGACGAAAGCGUGGGGAGCGAACAGGAUUAGAUACCCUGGUAGUCCACGCCGUAAACGAUGGAUACUAGCUGUUCGUCUAACAUUGGUUAGAUGAGUGGCUAAGCGAAAGUGAUAAGUAUCCCACCUGGGGAGUACGGUCGCAGACUGAAACUCAAAGGAAUUGACGGGGGCCGCACAAGCGGUGGAGCAUGUUGGUUAAUUCGAUGAUACGCGAGGAACCUUACCAGGGCUUAAAU
rnacentral:rRNA from 1 species